GUGGGUAUAGCUCAGUGGUAGAGUGCGUGCUUAGCAUGCGUGAGGUCCUGGGUCCCCAGUACCUCUA
rnacentral:tRNA from 1 species